UAAGGAAUAUUGGUCAAUGGACGAAAGUCUGAACCAGCCAUGCCGCGUGGAGGAUGAAGGUCCUCUGGAUUGUAAACUUCUUUUAUCUGGGACGAAAAAGGGUCUUUCUAGACCAACUGACGGUACCAGAUGAAUAAGCACCGGCUAACUCCGUGCCAGCAGCCGCGGUAAUACGGAGGGUGCAAGCGUUAUCCGGAUUCACUGGGUUUAAAGGGAGCGUAGGUGGGUUGGUAAGUCAGUGGUGAAAUCUCUGAGCUUAACUCGGAAACUGCCAUUGAUACUAUCAAUCUUGAAUACCGUGGAGGUCAGCGGAAUAUGUCAUGUAGCGGUGAAAUGCUUAGAUAUGACAUAGAACACCAAUUGCGAAGGCAGCUGGCUACACGAAUAUUGACACUGAGGC
rnacentral:rRNA from 1 species